rnacentral:rRNA from 1 species
UCGGGAAUUUUGGGCAAUGGGCGAAAGCCUGACCCAGCAACGCCGCGUGAAGGAUGAAAUCCCUCGGGAUGUAAACUUCGCAAGAACGGGAAGAAUAAGUUUCAGCGAACAACUGAAACGAUGACGGUACCGUUUGUAAGCUCCGGCUAACUCCGUGCCAGCAGCCGCGGUAAUACGGGGGGAGCAAGCGUUGUUCGGAUUUACUGGGCGUAAAGGGCGCGUAGGCGGCCAGCGCAAGUCAGUUGUGAAAUCUCCGGGCUUAACUCGGAAAGGUCAACUGAUACUGCGCGGCUAGAGUGCAGAAGGGGCAACUGGAAUUCUUGGUGUAGCGGUGAAAUGCGUAGAUAUCAAGAGGAACACCUGCGGCGAAGGCGGGUUGCUGGGCUGACACUGACGCUGAGUGUGCGAAAGCCAGGGGAGCGAACGG